rnacentral:rRNA from 1 species
UACGGAGGGUGCAAGCGUUAUCCGGAUUCACUGGGUUUAAAGGGUGCGUAGGUGGGAAUGUAAGUCAGUGGUGAAAUCUCCGUGCUUAACAUGGAAACUGCCAUUGAUACUAUGUUUCUUGAAUUUUCUGGAGGUAAGCGGAAUAUGUCAUGUAGCGGUGAAAUGCUUAGAUAUGACAUAGAACACCAAUUGCGAAGGCAGCUCACUACGCGAAUAUUGACACUGAGGCACGAAAGCGUGGGGAUCAAACAGG